CGGGUUUUUAACGACCGAGAGGAAAACAAGAAGGAAUUUGAAAUAAAGUGGUACUUUUACAUCAUAUAUAUAAUAUAUCAUAUAGGUAUUAUUUCUCCCGGAAAAUUUCUUGGAUUCUGCGAAUCAAAAGUAAUAGGUACACAUCGUAUAUUAUAUGUGUUAUAAAUAUUAACAAUAAAUGAAUAAUAAGUACCUACUACAUUUUUACGGGGAAAUUUGUAUUUUCUUUACUUCGGCGAUUAAAAAGUUUUUACGGUUUAUUCGUUUUGGUCGUCCCGUGAUUUUAAACUAAGUUUGCCGAAUCGCCAAAAACGUUGUCUUUGCAUUGUGCAAAUGUUGGUUUAGUUCGGAGUGGCGGUCGGGGAAUCAUUUUUUUAGCAUCCACUCGGAACCGUUCCAAACUUUGAAUACUAUCGGAACAAUAAACCGCGGUCGUUUCGAUUUU